rnacentral:tRNA from 1 species
ACCACAGUAGUGCAAUCGUUAGUACACCAGACCACACAUCUGUAUAUGCGGGUUCGAGUCUCGCUUGAGGUU